rnacentral:rRNA from 1 species
CUUUCUCCGCCGGCGACCGGCGCACGGGUGAGUAACACGUAUGCAACCUGCCCCUGUCAGGGGGACAACCCGCCCGAAAGGCGGGCUAAACCCGCGUACAUGCCACCGGGGCAUCCCGGAGGCAGGAAAGGCUUCGGCCGGACAGGGAUGGGCAUGCGGCGCAUUAGGCAGUAGGCGGGGUAACGGCCCACCUAACCGACGAUGCGUAGGGGUCCUGAGAGGAAGGUCCCCCACACUGGUACUGAGACACGGACCAGACUCCUACGGGAGGCAGCAG